CCCUUGCUCAGAUUUGAACGCUGGCGGCAUGCCUUACACAUGCAAGUAGAACGGCAGGCACGGGUGCUUGCACCUGGUGGCGAGUGGCGAACGGGUGAGUAAUAUAUCGGAACGUGCCCUGUAGUGGGGGAUAACUAGUCGAAAGAUUAGCUAAUACCGCAUACGACCUGAGGGUGAAAGUGGGGGACCGCAAGGCCUCACGCUAUAGGAGCGGCCGAUAUCUGAUUAGCUAGUUGGUGGGGUAAAGGCCUACCAAGGCGACGAUCAGUAGCUGGUCUGAGAGGACGAUCAGCCACACUGGGACUGAGACACGGCCCAGACUCCUACGGGAGGCAGCAGUGGGGAAUUUUGGACAAUGGGGGCAACCGUGAUCCAGCAAUGCCGCGUGUGUGAAGAAGGCCUUCGGGUUGUAAAGCACUUUUGUCCGGAAAGAAAUCCUUUUGGUUAAUACCUGGGAGGGAUGACGGUACCGGAAGAAUAAGGACCGGCUAACUACGUGCCAGCAGCCGCGGUAAUACGUAGGGUCCGAGCGUUAAUCGGAAUUACUGGGCGUAAAGCGUGCGCAGGCGGUUGUGUAAGACAGAUGUGAAAUCCCCGGGCUCAACCUGGGAAUUGCAUUUGUGACUGCACAGCUAGAGUGUGUCAGAGGGGGGUAGAAUUCCACGUGUAGCAGUGGGAUUCGUAGAGAUGUGGAGGAACACCGAUGGCGAAGGCAGCCCCCUGGGCUAACACUGACGCUCAUGCUCGCAAAGGG
rnacentral:rRNA from 1 species